ensembl:lncRNA
ACGUUGGCAAGAAAAUAUUCUUUAUUUUGUAUUUUUCCAAUUUCCUUCAUUUUUUUUCUGUUUUUUUUUUCUCUCAUUAAGCCAUUUUCUAAAGUGCCCUCUCUUCUGCAUUCUCUUCCCCUCAGCUUGUAACUGCACUUUUAAGUGAACUGAAUUAGCAAUUCAUUUACAUAAGUAGAGAAAACUUCAUUCUCUCAGAUUGAAUCUUUUUUUUUUCUCUUAAAUAUACACAUACUAAAAACAAACAAGAGUGCUUCAGUCAAAUUAAUAUGAUUCUUCCAAUUUUAAAGAAAAACUUCAGAGUUUCAUCAUGUUAGAAUUUGAUUGAAAGAAUUUUGUGUUAGUUUACAUCAAUCCUUGUCUUCCUUAAUAAAAUCACAAUAAAACCAUAUUUCUCAAGUAUUCACAUUUUAUGAUUCUGACACAUCAUUUUUUUCCUCAGGGAAAACAUAUAUGGCAAUCACUUUUUCCUUUAGUUGCAUCCAAGCACCAGUCUUUGGAGAUGAGAGAGAGUUAAGAUGAUAGGAUAGGAUAGGAUAGGAUAGGAUAGGAUAGGAUGGGAUGGGAUGGGAUGGGAUGGGAUGGGGUGGGGUGGGGUGGGGUGGGGUGGGAUGGGAUGGGAUAGGGUAGUGUAGGGUAGGGUAGGGUAGGGUAGGGUAGGGUAGGGUAGGGUAGGAUGGGAUGAGAUGGGAUAUGAUCUCCCUCAUGGAAAAACUCAUCCAGAACCAGUGAGUCGUUAUCAGAAAUCAUUCCUGUAGUCUAGUCAACUGGAGCCAGAAACUGAGGAUAUCCUCUUGACUCAUGCAGCGCCUUCACUUUCCAUGACUUUUUGAAUUCCAAAUUUGUCAUGAUCCGGAGUGGAUGGUACCAAAUCAUGUAUUCAUUAUUACAAAAGGUGCUGUCUUGGUGAGGGAUGAACAACUACAGUAAAAUAGAACUAUUUUUUAUCUGGAACCAUUAAAAUUAUUAUUAAGAUUCACCUGGUGGUAUGGAAUUGAUCCUUAAGUCCAGUCCUUAGCAAAAAAGGUGAAACUUAUUCAAGGUUCGAUUGGUUUUAAUUUGUACUACUUUACAAGUAAGUGCCAGAUCUUCAUGGGAAUAGAGCAAAUUAUUGUUAACUGUCAGUAAAAGAUGUUAAUAGUGAUUCUAUGGACUAUACACACAGGACUGG